ensembl:lincRNA
CGCAGGGUGAGCGCCCCCUGCUGGCCCCACUAACACCUCUUCCAGCAGCAACCUUAGUUUUUCCCAGGAGGUCUCACAUCCAGUUAUUGACCAGGCUCAGACCUGCUUAGCUUUAGUGGGUUGCCAGUUGUGAGUUUGCUGUUGUCUGCAGUAUUAAAAGGUUCAGGGGUGACUGGAUUGGGAGUUCAGGCAAGAGCUGGGUUGUAAUUUUUUUUUCAGAUCUCGGCAGGGCAGGAAUUAUGUUUUAUUCCAGUGUGUCCCCAACCCUGAUUCUGGGAGAUUUCUACUCCAGCUGACGCAGUGAUCACAGGUUAGCCACACUUCAACCCCCUGCGAGGGGCAUCUUUUUAAACACGCUUUCAGCUCCUAAAGCUUCGAACGGGGUCUGUACAGUCAGUCAUGCGUGUCCUCCCAGUUUGCGCCGGAGAUUCAAACCGCCCUCACCCGAGCUCUGCAGAAAGAGAAACAGCUCAGCGAGGCAGGACGUAACACCGCCCCAUUCCCACCGACCGCUCGGCUCCCAUCGGGAGCGGGUCUGUCCGAAAUCAAGGCCAGCAGGUUUGAGAAGAAGCUGUGUGCUCACGCUGUUGGAGUCAACGCGCUGGAAGCUGCGUGACUCUGUGAAACUUGGGGGACAGUGUGCACACGCAAGUCCGACAGACGUUUGAACAAACAAGCAGGUCAGUCAAAAGCAUCAGUUAUUAUAUUGGAGAGGCAGAGCUCAAGCAGGACACAGGACCGGGAUGAAAGCCUGUUCUAACGCGGAAUUAUUCCAGUUUUUUUACCCUGGCGUAUGUAUCUGCCCCUUUGCUUUCCCACUGUACCCCAAACCCUCAGCGUAAUAAAUGUAAUCCUGCCGUCUCCUCUCGUCGUGUGUUUUUUCUUCCUGUAAAGCGCUUUGAGGAGCCAAUUGCUACAUAAAAUAAAAGUUACUGACAGCUAAUGAAAAUGCAGCCUCGGGCAGAGAGAGAGAGGCUAUACAACGCCUCGUCAGUUACCGGCUCUUCCUCCCCGGGUGUCGGUGCCGUGAUCCCGCCGUGCUGCCGGCUCGCCCGCCGACACCUGCAGCCUCUUCCUCAGCGUGUCGUUCUCCCUCCUGGCCUGGGACAGCUCGUCCUCCACCAGCUGCGUGAUUUCGCACAGCGCUGCUCGCAGCAGGGUCUCCAGGACGGAAGCGAGCCGUGCCGGGAAAGACGAGCCGGGCCCGGACAUCUUUUCGCCCCCUGCCGAGGUGCGGGACACAUCUGUGUCUUUCCAGGAUGGGAAACGGGCUCGGCACGGUCACCUGCACCUCCUCCGGGGGCCUGGCGCCCUGGCGGGGAAGUGGGGCUCCGGAUCAGUCCGGUGGGUCUUCUUGUGCCAGACAGAGGCCAACAGGACCGGCGUUAGUGUUCCUCAGCCGCCAGCAGGGAGCGCCCGCUGGUCGAGCGCUGUGCGGGGAACGACUGCCCGACACACAACCUGAACAUCAUGGCGUCCCAUGCAGCACAGAGCGGGUGUGUGUGUGUGGGGGGGGGGGGUGACCAGAUUGUAGCUGACAGUGUAGUAGUUUGAGUCCCUGCUGCAGUGCAGACAGUGCAGCACUC